rnacentral:rRNA from 1 species
CGGACGGGUGAGUAACGCGUGGGUAACCUGCCUUGUACUGGGGGACAACAGUUAGAAAUGACUGCUAAUACCGCAUAAGCGCACAGUAUCGCAUGAUACAGUGUGAAAAACUCCGGUGGUACAAGAUGGACCCGCGUCUGAUUAGCUAGUUGGUAAGGUAACGGCUUACCAAGGCGACGAUCAGUAGCCGGACUGAGAGGUUGAACGGCCACAUUGGGACUGAGACACGGCCCAA